rnacentral:tRNA from 2 species
GGGAAUGGUCGGGAUAGCUCAGUGGUAGAGC